GCCAAGGGGACCCUCGUCUUCCCUCUCCGACAAGUGGGGGUCCUGAGCGCUGCCCCAGAAGGGGUCGAGAGAACGUUGUGGGCUGGAACACACACACCCGCCGGGUCAGAAACUGGACGACACGACGGACGUCGCCAGCAUCCAAGGCUCUGUCUCUCCUCUCAGCAGCCCCAUGUUAGCACCCUGUGGGCCCAGGGCCAUCCCCGGGCUAACGCCAGGGCUCUCUCGGAUGCUCUGCGAAUCGCUGCUGCGUCCUUACUUUGGGGUCCCGCUUCCGCCGGCCGCUUAUUAGCGCUCAGGCCCUCUUGGGCAUCUCAAACCCGCCCCGGGGUCAAAUGUACGCCUCUCCUGGAAAUCCUCUACGAAAGGGACAAACUUUUGAGUGGACGAAAAUCUAAAGGAGCCUGUCGGGAGCAGGAUUACUCAGCAAUUUUGGCUUCCUAAAUAGGUACAGGAGAAAAGGGAGAAGAUGAGGCCUGUUCCACCAGACAGUUCUUCAUUUCCACCUCAUCCCUGUUCCUGGAACACAGAUGCUGGUAUCCCCAAAGCUGCUGCUCUCAGGGGGUGAAGCAUCACCUCUACCUCAGUAUGCCACAAGUAUCGGAAAAAUUUUGCCACCCCAAGACUUCAGUGUGUUGUGGAUAGAUAUACAAAUAAACAGAUGGAAAAAGGAA